UUGGAAAACACUCUAGAGUAUCGUUAUUCAUUGUGAUGAAAUCGAAACUACAACUCCAAUCCAAUAAUAAAGGUUACUGUAUGACAAUAAAAUAAACCAUACAUCUUCCCUUUAAGUCGUAUUACGACUUGUAAGAAGAUUUCCUGGUUGCCAAAAUAUCAUUCAUAGUACACAAUAAUAUUAUGUGCAAAGGUAUUGAAAUGAAUAAGUACGAAUCAAGGUAAAUGAUUAUUAUUCCCAAAUGAGCUCAAACAAAAAGCAAAAAGAAUAAAAGGAAGCCUACAGCACCCCGGAUUCCCAUGUUGUCUCCAACCAUAGUACUAACGAGGCCCUCAGACGCUUAACUGCAGUGAUCGGACGGGAACUGGUGUUUUCGCCUAGGUAUGGCCGUAGACGUUUAAAGUAGAAUAUUUAAACAUUUUAAAGAAAAAAUUAAUAAUCAGUCAGAGUACUGUCGAUUCACUAGAAAUUUUCUAUUUAUUGUUUAUAUAUUCAUACAGUAAGAUCGUGAAGUAUUCAAAUCCUUGGUAUAUAGAAUAUUAUCUUCAUGCAUUCAAAGAUCGUUUAGGAGCUAUUUGUACAAGCUACUUGGUGCAUAUUUGUC